AUAUUGGACAAUGGGCGCAAGCCUGAUCCAGCCAUGCCGCGUGAGUGAUGAAGGCCUUAGGGUUGUAAAGCUCUUUCACCGGUGAAGAUAAUGACGGUAACCGGAGAAGAAGCCCCGGCUAACUUCGUGCCAGCAGCCGCGGUAAUACGAAGGGGGCUAGCGUUGUUCGGAAUUACUGGGCGUAAAGCGCACGUAGGCGGACCAUUAAGUCAGGGGUGAAAUCCCGGAGCUCAACUCCGGAACUGCCUUUGAUACUGGUGGUCUAGAGACCGAGAGAGGUAAGUGGAACUCCUAGUGUAGAGGUGGAAUUCGUAGAUAUUAGGAAGAACACCAGUGGCGAAGGCGGCUUACUGGCUCGGAACUGACGCUGAGGUGCGAAAGCGUGGGGAGCAAA
rnacentral:rRNA from 1 species